GCAAUACGUAGGUGCAAGCGUUAAUCGGAAUUACUGGGCGUAAAGCGUGCGCAGGCGGUGAUGUAAGACAGGCGUGAAAUCCCCGGGCUCAACCUGGGAAUGGCGCCUGUGACUGCAUCGCUGGAGUGCGGCAGAGGGGGAUGGAAUUCCGCGUGUAGCAGUGAAAUGCGUAGAUAUACACAAGAACACCAGUGGCGAAGGCGAUCUUCUGGCUAUUACCUGACGCUAAGGCUCGAAAGCGUGGGAGCAAACAGGAUUAGAUACCCUGGUAGUCCACGCUGUAAACGAUGAAUACUAGAUGUUGGUCGUAAAGAUCAGUGUCGCAGCUAACGCAUUAAGUAUUCCGCCUGGGGAGUACGGUCGCAAGAUUAAAACUCAAAGGAAUUGACGGGGACCCGCACAAGCGGUGGAGUAUGUGGUUUAAUUCGAAGCAACGCGCAGAACCUUACCAGCUCUUGACAUGGGACGUAUAGGGAUCAGAG
rnacentral:rRNA from 1 species